GAGUCUUAAGUAAGAGUCCUAUUAGGAGUUAGGGUUUAGAAGCCCUAUAAAUAAUCAUAUAUUCCACCUCUUUUCAUAAGCAAUAGAUGAAUCUUUUCUGCAGCCUUUGAGCAGCAACUUGGAGGGAGGAACCCCUAUAGAGUUCCAAGGAGGCCGAUCCCCUAAAGAGAUUAAUCCCAAGUUAAGAAUCUGUAAGGGUUCUAUCACCUGGUAUCAGAGCAACAUUCUUGGCGUCUCGCUACCCUUCCAUAGCCAUCCAUCAACCAUCCACAAUCGCCCAAAGCAAUUCCCACAAUUGCUUAAGAGAUCGUUGCCAAAUUCCACCGUCAUCUCCACCACCACGGAUCAUCCUUUGAUCUCCCCGUGAAUUGCAACAAGUUCUGGUUUUCUACCUUACUGCUGCUGCAAUUUAGUUAUCCUUAUUUAAAAAUC
rnacentral:lncRNA from 1 species